UGGAUGAAGACAGAGCAGUAGAGUUCGACACUAGCAUGUACCACUUUGGUGAACAUCUACCUCCAGCGAGGGAGAGCAAGAGCUUGAGUGAAGCUCAUAGGAACAACAAUAAACUGUAGAAGUGAUGCAACAAGCAGGACAAGCUACUCGCCAAAUGCUUCAAAACUAUCAAGUUUUUGACAAAUAAGCUGAGAUGUUCCUCCUCUACUACAGCUAUUCCA
rnacentral:pre_miRNA from 1 species